ensembl:lncRNA POT1-AS1 POT1 antisense RNA 1
GGUGGACCAGCUGCGUAACGGUUCACACACUGAUGGCGCCUGGAGGUUUGGCGAAAUACUGACAGGAUGCGACGUCAACGGGAGCGCAGGGCCAAGAUACCCUUUAUAUCAAACCGUCUAUCCUGGAGCAGAAAAAUCCUGUCUUCAUUGCUAUAGCUACAGAUUCAGAAAUGAGCAUGUAACAAAUUCAGGCCAAAGAGAGGCAAUGGAAAUCAGAGAAACACUGUUCCUGAAAGCUUCUGUCACUCAAGAAUCCAUGAAACAUUCAUGAACUUCACAUCAGGUCACUGGGUAAUAGGAUGUAAAGAGGAGUUCUCAAAACAACCUCACAGACCCAGAAUAAUCAAAACAAUUGAAGACUUAACUUCAAUUUCAAAACUUACCACAGAGCAAGAGUAAUCAAGACAGUAUGGUACUUCCCUAAGGACAAACAUAUAUGAAUGAAAGAGAAACCAGAUUUUGGAAAUUUUAAAGAGUGUCAAGACCAUUCAGCAAGGAAUGAAUAGUCUUUUCAACAAAUUGUGAGACAAUAGAUAUUCACAUGCAAAAAAUGUACCUGGACUCCUACCUCACGCCAUAUAAAAAUAUUAACUCAAAAUGGAUUAUAGGGAGGAAGUGGAGGAAGAUGACCAGAAAAAACCUUCCAGUGAUUAUCCCUAACUUGCCCUGCAGGAAGACCAAAUUGAACAACUAUCCACAAAGGAAAGCACCAUCAUAUGAGGCAAAAAUCAGAUAUGUCCUGAGAGUUUCUGAAGUUAUUUAACUGGUUCAAUGAGAAUUUAAUCAAGGUCUGCUUUAUAUCAAAAUUUAUGAUUUUUAUUCAAUGCCAUACAUAGAAUUUGUUCACAGUUAUCAUCAAACACACUCAUGUAAGUAAAUUCUAUUAGAAAAACAUGUUCUUCGGUGGUCAGAAUAUUCUGGGACUUUAGGUUAAAAUGUAUAAAUGUCAAAGUUGCAACUCAGGUUGCUAUUUUUUAUUUUUAACAGGCAUAUGCAUAGUCCUACUUCUUUUCAUUGAGUCAUUUUUGUUGGUUUAACUUUUAAAUAGUAUAUACAUUUUUCCUCUGGAACAGUUCUUGGCUAGUUUGACAGCCUUGGCAGUGUUUUCUGGGUGAGAAGUAGUUUAUAGCACUGCCUUUUAAUAGUGAGAACCAAAUGAACAGCAUAUCUAGGCAGUGAAUAAUCUUAGCACAUAGCACUCAAAUGACACGCAGUCUGAGGAAAAUGUGUAGGAGAAACUAAGUCUUACAGGGCUCCACAGCUCAGAGAUAAAAACAUAGAACAUUUGAGAUUGUACAAAACUUUCUAGUGUAUGGUGAUUAUUGAGUGUUUGUGAAUGGUUAUGUAGCAGAUGUGUAAAUAAAUGUAUCUUGUUGAGUAGAAGAUGUCACAGAAGAGAAUUCAUGAAAAUGAAAGCCACAGGCAUUGCAAAAAAUGAAAUGAUUUAACUCUUAUAUUUGUCUAUGGAUAGUAUUAUCAUAAUUAUACACAAUUAGAUCUGAUGUUCUGAAAUACUCUUCAAGAACAAUUUAAAACAUCACACUAGAUGUCCAGAGGUUAUCAACUAGAAGCCUGUUGACAGGUUAUUAGAAACACAUUGUUUGACAAUUUCUAUUUGAUUGGCUAUAGUCAGGAUACAUAUUCUCCCACCU